UUGUUUUUCUAACUUAUGGUCAGAGCUGAGAUGGAGCAAAAAUUGAUUUUGACACAGUUUAAGAAAGUUUGGCUUCUUUCCAUCAAAUUUGAUAGUUUGUUUUGAAGCAUCCAUGUAAGAAUAACUACAAAUCAUAACUUGGGAAGCAGGUGUCCCUUAGCAUGUUUACAUCAAAGUUGACAUUUGAGAGAUCAAAUUAAUGCAGUCCAUGUAAACCUCCACCUAGCUGAG
rnacentral:lncRNA from 1 species